AUUUUUAAGCAUUGUAAUAAUAUUUGCUUAAAAAUUAUUUGAAUGUAUACUAUGAUAGUCGAAUUUUCAACCUACUCUAUCAUAAUAAUAAUAUAUAAUAUAUAUUAUUAUAUAAUAUUUUAUAUGUACUUAAUGUAAGAAAAUAUACAUUUAGAAUUAAUAUAUAUUUAUAAUAUAAUUAAUAUCUUUAAUAAUAUUAAUAUAAAUCAUUUAACAUUACAAAAAAAUCAAAGCGGUAUUAAAUUAGUGUUUUCAAAUGCUGAUUGGCGCGCAUUGACUCUAAUUUUAUAUAAAAAGAAUAGAAAACAAAUUUUAUUAAAAAUUUGCAUAAAGCCUGUUUAUUAAAGUAUGUAUAUUAGCUUUCGAAUAAGAUAUUACAAGUAUAAUUUCUAAUUAUUCAUUAUUUCCGUGGAAACCAUUUAUAUUUGAACCCAAUAUUUGAAAUCCUCCUUCAUUUAUAUUUUACUCUCGAUCGUGACAAAGAUUCUGCCUCUCCCAAAGUGAAAGUUACUAAUUCUGUGCCGCUUGUAAUUUUAGAUAUUACAGUCACGGCUUAAAUAUUGGCAUCGUACGGUGUAUGUUAAUUAUACAAACGACUUUCUCGAAGAAAGAAGAAGAAAGUUUGUCACAGUUAAUGCGGGAUAUACAGGGUGUCCCAUCGAAGGUGUUACGCGUUUUUCCAAACUAUUUAAGGUAGCGAGUAGCGGUUAAAUUUUGUUUUUAUACAUUGCAAGAUACAGUUAUAAAAACUCACUAAGGCAUAUUGGAUAUUUUAUAUGAUAAAUAAGGUUGGAAUUAACGUUAACUGAUUAAAAUUUACUAAGAAAGGUUUGUCAAUUUUUAUUCUCAUGUCGUGCAGGCCAGUUAUAUUAUACACGCAAUAUUUGUGCAAUUACGAAAGAGUAAGUUUCAUUUAUCCAUAUUUUACUACCAGCUUUCUUGUUUAGCAAACUUGUAACCAUCAUAUUUUAUUUAACAAAACUUUAAGGAAAUAAUUGUAAAGGUAUAUCACUUACUUUGAGCGCAAAGAGCAGGAACUGGUGGUUCCAAAAUUCUCCCAGUAGAUUGGAACUGUGCCGUUGAUAAAGCAAAGAGUGUUGCAAGUAUAAUGAAUCCCAACAUUUUUCUCAAUUAUUAUUUUUCAUAAAAUCUAAACAUAUUACAUAUAUUAUGUUAUUAUAUGUGCGAUUACAAUUUUAAAUAGAAUUUUAUUAUUAUAUAUUUUUAGCACAAUCAAAAAAAACAUAAUUUCAAGAACUUUUAACAAUUUUUUUCCAAGUAAUUAAUAAUUUCUAUUAAUAAAACUUUUACUGGGUUUGCGUUUGUAAAUACUCCUUUACAUUUCGUUUUGGUUCACUGUUUAAUAUUUAAAUUAAUUUAACUUACUAAGUUAAGUAAAAUUGAUUUUAUUUGUAAGUGACUAUUACGAUUGUACGAAAUAUGAAGUUAAAUUAAAUUAUUAAUUCCGAUUUAUAAUUGUAAAUUUUUUAUAUGAUUU